rnacentral:lncRNA from 1 species
GUGUUCCUUUGGUAUCUGUUGCUAUGCAUCAGCUUAUGAUACAUGUCUUCCUCUUCGUCCAUAAAUGCAAAUUAUGGAAACUGCUCUUUGAUAUUAUUUUUUUGGAAAAUCACUCUAUAUAUAAGAAAUAAUGCAAACCUACUCUAGUAUGAAAAUGGCACACUACACUAUGGUAGUGCAGCGAGAAAAAUGCGUUGUGAUAGUGCGGCUGUGCUAUGGAUAAUGUGACAACCACUCAAUGGUUUAUAUUGUCAAUGGUAAAGAAAAAUGGCAACUGCAGUGAGACAAUCAUAAGAAGUGAUGUGAGGAUGUUGUGGAUCUCUACCAAAAUGAAAUUGAUAGGUGUCUAUCACACUGUUGUGAAUGGACUAUCAAUUAAAUCGCCCUCAUGCACUCAAAACACUAAACGAAUAAUCAUGCACUCUGACUGAAGGGUAAUCAUGCGGAUUCAAAAAAAUGACAAAGCUUAUUUGAUUCGUCUCACAAGCAAAAGGCAGAACGGUUACCAAGUUUUGAACAUCAUGCAGGUUUAUUCUCAAACACAUGUUCUGAAUCUCUUUGCUACUCUGAAUGAACUGCAUGAAGUGGCACAAAACACACAUGAUCUGAGUCUCUUCCUACUCAAAAUGAUCUGCAUCGGGUGCCACAAAGAAAACAUGUUGUGAAUCUCUUACUACUCUGAAUGAACAACAUGUACAAGCACACGUUUCUGAAACUACUGCUAUUCUGAAUGAAUUGCAGGAAAUUAGCAGGCGGUGAAUGAAAAACAAAUCAAUGGAUUGUUCCUGACUAGCAGUAGAGCAAGCAGGGUUGAGGACGCCGUUGGCCUACGCCGGAGAAGCACCCUACCAUCAGCAUUCAGCAGCACCGUUGUCUUCUUUAUCCCCUCACUCACAAACCGCGCGCCUACUCCUCCCUAGCCGGCGCAGAUCGAGCGAGCCUCCCUCGUCCCCCAGGCCCACCACACCAAAAUCAAACCCCGCCGCUUCCACGACGGGACAUGGCGGUGGUUGCUGCCACGCAGCCGCUUCCACGACGACGGCUAGUGUGGUUCCCUUCGUGGCGUCGUUUUUUAAAAUUGUCGCUUCGCCUCGCUCAAGAGAGAGGAGAAAAAAAUGUGAGAGGGAACAUAACAUCGGCGAACUCACCCGAUCGGAGUUGCCUGCGCGCCGACGAGCAGAGGGGGUCCGAUCGAGAGGAGAGUAGCCGUCUCCGCCUUUCCCACGAAACAGGUGAGCCACCGGGGUGGAGGAUGAAGGGGAAUAGGGAGGAGAACAAACAGCACCGAUGGUAGCGCGCCGCCGCACGGGACACGAUAUUUCACGUACGAACCGUACGUACGUCAGUUAGACUCAAACUGCAGCGACAGCUGGAUUUUCCAUCUCGUACUGUAUGAGAAUAGGAAAAAGGACUAGUCGUACGUGCAGUAGUUUAGUAGAUUUUCCCAGUUUCCCUAGAUAAAAUCUAUAUACACGGUUUCCCGCAAAAAAAAAAAAUCUAUAUAAACGGCGUG